rnacentral:lncRNA from 1 species
AAAUAUGAAAGGAUCAGUUCUUGAAUCAAGGAGGUGAAAGAAAACCUUGAUAGGACAAAAAAAACAAAUGAACACACAUUUCAUUGAUGAUUAACCAAAAGGAAGAAAUUAAUUUUUCAACAAUCUGAUAAACACCAGAAAAAUCGAUUAUUCUUUUGAAUUUUAUAUAGGGGUCAUUGAAGAUGAACCACCAAAUAGGAUUACCUCAAAUAAGUCAAAGUAACACAUAAUUACAACAACUCAGCUGCAUAAUCCCGGAAAUUAAGCAACACUAACAACAUCAAAUCUCUAUGAUGGGAAUUAAAACAAAUCAAAUUACAAAAAGACUGAACCACAAUCUAAGAACUAGCAUAGGGGUCCAAGAUUACACAAAAAAGGUGAAAUAUUUAGAGUAACUAAGAUCUGGUUCAAACACAUUCUGAUUAAAAAUCUACCUUGUAUUGCAGAGAAUACAAUCCAUGAUCCUAAACCACGCUUCCCUUAGGCGAGGGUAAACCCUGAUGGUGUAUGUUCUUGUUUCUCUGACCAUAUCUUCCAUGGUUUCUACAAAGAGGUUUAAGCUUCUGAUUGGAGGAACAUAAAGAACCAAAGGAGCAGCAGAAAAAGCCACCGUGAAGAACAACUCAAGCAUAUUUUCUCUUUGGUUUUUCUGAGACACCCAACUGAGAAAAAUUAUAGAUUCAGAAACAAAGUUGAAAACUUUGGGUUUGAUAAGAAGAAGGGUAUUUGGAUUUAUGCUUUUUUAAGGUUUCUGAGAUCUAAAAGACUCAAUAUUGUUGACUCUAUGAAAGGUUGAGGAAGAAGAAAGAGUUAAAUAUAAAAAAAAAAAGAGAGGCAGAAAGAGAAAGAACGAGAGAGAGAAGCAAGUUCUGGAAAGUUAGUGAAGCCUGAACCAACCUGAGCAAAUAAAUGGAGAAUAAAAUAGCCUAAAAUGCAUAGUAGAGAUCAAGAAUGUAUUAUCGAUGAUGAUUAAUAUUCAUU